UACAGAGGGUGCAAGCGUUGUUCGGAAUUACUGGGCGUAAAGGGCGCGUAGGCGGCCUGUUAAGUCGAACGUGAAAUCCCUGGGCUCAACCCAGGAACUGCGUCCGAUACUGGUUGGCUUGAAUCCGGGAGAGGGACGUGGAAUUCCAGGUGUAGCGGUGAAAUGCGUAGAUAUCGGGAGGAACACCAGUGGCGCAAGCGGCUGACUGGCCGAGACCUGACGCUGAGACGCGACGGCGUGGGGAGCAAACCGG
rnacentral:rRNA from 1 species